CCCAAGACCAAAGAAAAGAAUACGAAGAAAGUGGAUCACAGGGCACCUGGCGCUGAGGAAGACGACUCCGAGCUGCAGAGGGCGUGGGGGGCUCUGAUUAAGGAGAAAGAGCAGUCUCGCCAAAAGAAGAGCCGCUGUUACCAGCACCCUUUUCCCAAGAAAAGUCAAUUCCCAGGUGCUUAUUGGACAUCCUUCGAGGGGGAAGAGGAGGGAAGCGGCCAGCUCACCCUUCCGGGACCCUAGUGUGGGGGCGAAUCUCACCGACCUGACCUCAGAGGUGCACCAGUGCCGCCCAGGUAGAUAAGAGCUGCAGCAUUGACUGUGCUUCCGUUCUUCCCUCGGGGAUUGCUCAUGUCAUGGGCCUCUUACUUGCUGUCAGCUUGAUGUGAAGAUCAAGUUCAGUGCUGUGGGAUUUUUAGGAACAAAAAACUGUGACGUCUGGAUUUGGGGUUGAUUUUUGUGCUGGGGGUGGGAUUAUGGGUUAAUGUUAAAGAAUUUUUAAGUCUGUAUUAUGUUUAAAACACAAAUGAUUUGAAAGUUUAAAUUUUUAGUUUUUAUAUGUGGAAAUUCUUCCUGUUGGCUAAAGGGGAAGCUCGAGUGGUGUCUUCUUUUGUGCUGUUAAAUAUAUAUUCUAUUCUUUGGAAGAAGGCAGAGAGAGGAGUCUUAUUAUUUUUAAAUGCUUCUAGUUGUAGAGCCUGUCUGUUGUACAUAGAGUUCAGCUUGCUUUUUGGCUCCAGUAGGAAAAAAAUCCAUCCAUCUGAGAUGGGUCCUGUUGUUUAUUAUCACUCUAGAAGUUAAUACAUUGAUAUUUAUUCUUUCUGUCCCCAAGUUGUGGCACCUGAAGACAUCUUAAAACUUGGCAGAAAAGAUAAUAGUUAUGAAAAUUUUAGUUCAUUUAUUUUUAAACUCCUUUCAGAUUAUUUUACCAUUAGGAGGAGGUAGAUUGUUUCUUCUUGCUGUCUGAUUUUUGUUUUGUAGUAUUUAAUUUUGUAUUCCUCUGCAGUUUUGAGAAACAGUGUUUCGCUUCGGUUUGCUGGAACAUGGGAGUUAGAGCUGGUCGUAAGCCGUGGUCCUUUUUGCGAUGUCACAACUCUUCACCUGCCUGGGCUGUUCCGCACACAGUGCAGCCUGGAUCCUGGCGAUCUGUACUUGUGGCCGAGCUAAUGGUCACAUUGAUAGUUGAUUACACUGUGGCACGAAUGAAUGCAGAACACUGUUAUUAAUAAAGGAAGUAAAAGGGCUGCAAGAUUUGAGAGCUGCAACAAAAA